CUGAAUGGGUGAAUCGAAUAACUUUGAAAACGGAAUCCCGCAGCUUUGGACCCAUGUUAGUAGCGCAGACCCCCGCUCGCCACCCUGCGUUUGAUUGCAGCAGCAAUGCCGCAUUCCCCAAAGAGGCCUCGUUGCCAAUGAUAUUCCCCCAUUGUCCCCCCCCCCCCUUUGCUUUUUUGGCAACAGCUUCCGUGCCCGGACAGGUUGGACGGGAGCCGAACAAACAAAGCCCCUCUCAGACGGAAGAAACAAAGAUCACGAUUGUGCAACGCUCUCAAACAGCUGACUGUGCUGACAAGUCGAGGAUGGCUGGAGUCGGCGGCGGGUGCGGGGACUAGCCCGAGUGGUUGCAUCAGCCCGCUUAAGUAGUGGGCCAGGUCUGGGAGAGCUCCGGAAUGCGGAAGUGGCCGAGCCAGACGUCAGCGUGCUCGAGAAUCAUGACGGAGGGGCGGGGCUGCGUUCGGCCGGCCCCCCUCCCUCCCCCCGCCCCCUAGCAACCGAAAACAUACACAAGCCCGGAGGGAAACUUUCGACGCGGGGACCUCGGUGCGCGUGCGCGCUCCGCUGCUGCUGUUGACCAGAGACGCCGGCGUUUGCUUCCUCCCCUUCCCAGAAAGAAGCGUCCUUGGGGUGAGCGCGGGCCUCCGAGCGGCUCAGCGGUGUUUGCCGAUGACGCUGCUUUGCAACGUGUCUUGUGCAGAAGGGCCCGUUCUCACCUCUCUGGGGAAAUCCCCCCGCCAGCCAGACACCAUCCUGUCCCGUCCCGUCCCGUCCCGUUCCGUCCUGACUCAUUCCUCAUUCUUCCCCACGCCGCCGACUUUUGCAGACACAACAAGGCGAGCGACGCGUUUGAAUUUCUUCCCUUCCUUCUUGUUGUUCUCCUUUCAGAAUCAUCUCAGACGAAAGCGCGUUGACGCUGCCGUUUGCACAUUUGGAAAUGUUUCCAUAUUUCAUAAGAGCCCGCUAAUAGGAAGUUGGCAGAGCCGUCUCGAUUGACUGAGCGACCGAGAUGCUCGCCAUUCUGACAAUUGCAGCGUGCGUGCCGACCGGAUCCCGCGGAAAUGUUUCUGUCCAAAAGCACGGGGAUUUUCAGCCGCGAGGAUGCUUUUGAGGUCAAAAAAAAAAAAGCCCAAACUAAGCGUGUCCCGUGUCCGUUGACGGCUGGCGGAAUUGUCCGAUUAUGGCCUCGUUGGUUGAAGGAA